ACACCUCAACCCUCGUGGCUUGCCAUGAUGGGCUUGGACUUUGGGGGUCUUGUUGGCCUUUUGGCCAGCUCCUCUCAAAUGAAUUAGCUUGCCAGUGUUUGGUGGCGUCACAGGUGUGAUAACUAUCUACGCUUGUGGUUUGCCACCAGGUAACCUUCAGCAAUGGAGGUUCACUGGAGCUUACAGACGUCUCUCCUCAGCGAGGACAGAUUUUGACC
rnacentral:misc_RNA from 1 species